AAAUCUGGCCCCGAAGACCUACAAAUUAUUUUAAACACAGGACGCUUCAGUAUCCUCCCAGCCUCCUAAGAGAAUGGUUCAGAUAAAAUCAUGCCAAAUGUUGAGUAAAUGGGAGGGGUUUUUUAGUGGAAACCAUAAUGCUAUGCUGUGGCCACAUUUUCACAAUACUUCGGGGGCGGGAGGGUGAUCCCUCUGCCCGGAUAGGCUGGAAGGCUAUGUAACAUUUUGUUCAGGGGAAACACAGUCCAGAUUCAAGAGUCAAGACCAAAUCAUAAGACUCACUGGAGUCAAACACUGGCACCAGCCCCAACUGCUUCUAGACAGCUGUGCCUUCACCCUAACAAAACCACCUAGAAUAUACCUACAUGGAAAAAACAAAGCAGAAUCUAGAAAUCCACAGAACUGCUGUCUGUGUGUAUUGAGCUCAUUAACUAUUUUUUCCUUUUGCAAUUUUCUGCAUUUUUGAAAAGCAUAUAUAAUUGGAUUAAAUUGUUUUUUUUGAGACAGAGUCUCACUCUGUCGCCUAGGCCGGAGUGCAGGGGCGCGAUCUCAGCUCACUGCAACCUCCGUCUCCCGGGUUCAAGCGAUUAUCCUGCCUUAGCCUCCCGAAUAGCUGGGACUACAGGUGCCCGCCACCAUGCCUGGCUAAUUUUUAUAGUUUUAAUAGAGAUGGGGUUUCACCAUAUUGGCCAGGCUGGUCUCAAACUCCUGACCUUGUGA
rnacentral:lncRNA from 1 species